AGCAGCAGAGAGCAAAAUAAAGAAAACAUCUAAGAAAUCAGAACAAAAAGAACAUACAAGAAACAGUGGCUGUGCGCACUCCUCAAAUACAGAAGAAAUCAUAUCAGACACUCCACGAAAACAUGAUUCCGUGAGAAACAAGACUUCCGGUUGCGUUACCCUGGUGAGCUCUUGCUGUGGUCACACAAAGGAGGAGUUACACCAGGUCACCCUGAGGAGGUUAAAACAACGAACCUGACCACGCAACCAGCAAAACAACACAUUAAAAACACAACGGAAAAGAUCACACUGAGAAGAAACGCAAACGGCGUGGAGCUUCCCUUCUGUGGAGGCAUUCACACGCGUGACGUAUGCUGACAGUCCUGAUCAGAAACAGCGCUGCGGUCAAGAGCAACAACGAACACAGCUUUUAAGGGGAAGUCAAUGAGUUACAAUUAACACACAAUUAAGUUAGCAGUAGUCCUACCUGCUACAAUUGUAAAGCACAGAGAGGUGUGGUAAAGCAUAGGGAAGCAUUGUAAAGCACAGAGAGGUCUGGUAAAGCAUAGGGAAGCAUUGUUAAGCACAGAGAGGUCUGGUAAAGCAUAGGGAAGCAUUGUAAAGCACAGAGAGGUCUGGUAAAGCAUAUUAAACACUCAAUACAAAUGAUGUAUCUCUGCUCUCUCACAUUCUGUCUCUCCCUCUCUCCCAGGUAUCUGCUUCCUCUCCGGGGGUCAGAGAGAGGAGGAUGCCUCUCUCAAUCUCAACGCCAUUAACCAGUGCCCCCUGCCCAAGCCCUGGAAGCUCACCUUCUCCUACGGGAGAGCCCUGCAGGCCUCCACGCUCUCCGCCUCGGCAAGCAAGCCAGGAGACCUCCAGGCUGUGCAAGUGGCCUUCACUGAAAGAGCCAGGAUUAACGGAUUGGCUGCCUCCCAGUCUCUCUUCACUGCCAGUUAUGUCUACUAGACCAGUGCGCUCAUUAAACUGGGACCAGUAAACCUCACACACUGAACCACUGCUUUUGCGAUCUCAAUUUUACAUUCCAAAAGGUGAUUUUUACAAAUUAAAAAAAAUAUGAAGACGUCUGUCUGUAAGCCUUUCUUCCAGAGCGUUUGAAGUCAUGUGGAGCUUUAAAUAAAAAUCUACACUGUUGGAAAAUUAAAA